rnacentral:piRNA from 2 species
UAGUUACUCCAUUUUUAUCUGUCCUGCACC